AACGCGAAGAACCUUACCAGGACUUGACAUGGGGAGGACGCAGUCAGAGAUGGCUGUUCCCGCAAGGGCCUCCUGCACAGGUGCUGCAUGGCUGUCGUCAGCUCGUGUCGUGAGAUGUUGGGUUAAGUCCCGCAACGAGCGCAACCCUCGCCUUUAGUUGCCAGCACGUUUGGGUGGGCACUCUAAAGGAACUGCCGGUGACAAGCCGGAGGAAGGUGGGGAUGACGUCAAGUCCUCAUGGCCCUUAUGUCCUGGGCUACACACGUGCUACAAUGGCGGUGACAGUGGGAAGCCAGAUCGCAAGGUCGAGCCGAUCCCAAAAAGCCGUCUCAGUUCAGAUUGCACUCUGCAACUCGGGUGCAUGAAGGUGGAAUCGCUAGUAAUCGUGGAUCAGCAUGCCACGGUGAAUACGUUCCCGGGCCUUGUACACACCGACAUA
rnacentral:rRNA from 1 species